UACGGAAGGCAGCAGUGGGGAAUAUUGCACAAUGGGCGCAAGCCUGAUGCAGCCAUGCCGCGUGUAUGAAAAAGGCCUUCGGGUUGUAAAGUACUUUCAGUCGUGAGGAAGGUGUUAAGGUUAAUAACCUUAGCAAUUGACGUUAGCGACAGAAGAAGCACCGGCUAACUCCGUGCCAGCAGCCGCGGUAAUACGGAGGGUGCGAGCGUUAAUCGGAAUUACUGGGCGUAAAGGGCACGCAGGCGGUUAAUUAAGUUGGAUGUGAAAUCCCCGGGCUUAACCUGGGAAUGGCAUUCAAGACUGGUUAGGCUAGAGUCUUGUAGAGGGGGUAGGAAUUCCAUGUGUAGCGGUGAAAUGCGUAGAGAUGUGGAGGAAUACCGGUGGCGAAGGCGGCCCCUGGACAAAGACUGACGCUCAUGUGCGAAAGCGUGGGGAGCAAACAGGGAUUAGAUACC
rnacentral:rRNA from 1 species